rnacentral:rRNA from 1 species
UACGGAGGGUGCAAGCGUUAAUCGGAAUUACUGGGCGUAAAGCGCACGCAGGUGGCUGAGUAAGUCGAUUGUGAAAGCCCGGGGCUCAACCCCGGGAGGCGGAUGGAUACUGCUUGGCUCGAGUCCGGAAGAGGUGAGUGGAAUUCCCGGUGUAGCGGUGAAAUGCGCAGAUAUCGGGAGGAACACCAAUGGCGAAGGCAGCUCACUGGGACGGUACUGACGCUGAGACGCGAAAGCGUGGGGAGCAAACAGG